rnacentral:sRNA from 1 species
UUGAAACCAAAGCCAGAAUGAUGGCUCUAUCUAUCUUCAAAUAGGUAUUUACACUGCAGACCUCACACAGAGCAAAGUGUUACCAUCCUGCUGGGCCAGAACAGCAUGAAACUUUAAAAAGAAUAACAUUAUACUUGAUUUCAGAUAAUUUAUUGAAUCCUACUUCUGAAACGUUUGAUGAGAGAUCUGUGACCAGAAUACAUUCCAAAAAUUGUAAAAGACAAAAUUCCUUAGGCACUAAAAUCAAGCUCUUCCUGGAUAGCAGCUGAGAGAGUAUACGAGGAUCAUUUUGUUUUCAGCUAUAAAAAAUGGAAGCAUGCAUAAUCUCCAUAAAACCAAAGAUAUUUUCUGUUAACAACAACACAGAAUGUGGGAAGUUACUGGAGGAAAUCAAAUGUGCACUUUGCUCUCCACAUUCUCAAAACCUGUUCCACUCACCUGAGAGAGAAGCCUUGGAAAGAGACCUAGUACUUCCUCUGCUCUGCAAAGACUAUUGCAAAGAAUUCUUUUACACUUGCCGAGGCCAUAUUCCAGGUUUCCUUCAAACAACUGCGGAUGAGUUUUGCUUUUACUAUGCAAGAAAA